rnacentral:tRNA from 1 species
GUGGUUGUAGCUCAGUUGGUAGAGUGUCUGCCUUGCAUGUGUGAGGCACUGGGUUUGAGCCUCAGCACCACA